rnacentral:rRNA from 1 species
AUUGAACGCUGGCGGCGUGCUUAACACAUGCAAGUCGAACGAGAACGGAUUAUAGCUUGCUAUAAUUGUCAGCUAAGUGGCGCACGGGUGAGUAAUGUAUAGGUAAUAUGCCUCUUACUAAGGGAUAACAAUUGGAAACGAUUGCUAAUACCUUAUAUUCCUUUUUAUCAAAAGAUAAAAAGGGAAAGAUUUAUUGGUAAGAGAUUAGCCUGUAUUGUAUCAGUUAGUUGGUGGGGUAAUGGCCUACCAAGACAAUGACGCAUAACUGGUUUGAGAGGAUGAUCAGUCACACUGGAACUGAGACACGGUCCAGACUCCUACGGGAGGCAGCAGUGGGGAAUAUUGCACAAUGGACGAAAGUCUGAUGCAGCAACGCCGCGUGGAGGAUGACACAUUUCGGUGCGUAAACUCCUUUUAUAUAAGAAGAUAAUGACGGUAUUAUAUGAAUAAGCACCGGCUAACUCCGUGCCAGCCGCCGCGGUAACAC